rnacentral:rRNA from 1 species
AGGACGAACGCUGGCGGCGCGCCUAAUACAUGCAAGUCGAGCGAGAACCAGGGCUUGCCCUGGGGAGAGCGGCGAACGGGUGCGUAUCACGUGAGCAACCUGCCCCGAAGACCGGGAUAACUCGAGGAAACUCGGGCUAAUACCGGAUGUCCUCGACGAACCGCAUGGUUUGACGAGGAAAUGGAUUCCGCUUCGGGAUGGGCUCGCGGCCUAUCAGCUUGUUGGUGGGGUAACGGCCUACCAAGGCAACGACGGGUAGCUGGUCUGAGAGGACGAUCAGCCACACUGGGACUGAGACACGGCCCAGACUCCUACGGGAGGCAGCAGUAGGGAAUCUUGCGCAAUGGGCGAAAGCCUGACGCAGCGACGCCGCGUGCGGGAUGAAGGCCUUCGGGUCGUAAACCGCUUUCAGCAGGGACGAAUUGACGGUACCUGCAGAAGAAGGCCCGGCCAACUACGUGCCAGCAGCCGC